rnacentral:rRNA from 1 species
UGAGUGAAGAAGGCCCUCGGGUUGUAAAGCUCCUUUGUUGGGAAAGAAAUCCUGUUGGCUAAUACCCGGCAGGGAUGACGGUACCCAAAGAAUAAGCACCGGCUAACUUCGUGCCAGCAGCCGCGGUAAUACGAAGGGUGCAAGCGUUACUCGGAAUUACUGGGCGUAAAGCGUGCGUAGGUGGUGGUUUAAGUCUGUUGUGAAAGCCCCGGGCUCAACCUGGGAAUUGCAGUGGAUACUGGAUCACUAGAGUGUGGUAGAGGGUGGCGGAAUUCCCGGUGUAGCAGUGAAAUGCGUAGAGAUCGGGAGGAACAUCCGUGGCGAAGGCGGCCACCUGGGCCAACACUGACACUGAGGCACGAAAGCGUGGGGAGCAAACAGGAUUAGAUACCCUGGUAGUCCACGCCCUAAACGA